UCUCCAUUUCGCAUGCUCUCUCGGCAGUCAGACGUGCGAGAGAGCGUGCGAAAUGAAGAGA
rfam:Pristionchus pacificus strain PS312 contig9422, whole genome shotgun sequence.